AAUUACUUAAAUUACUUCCGGUAUUCGUUCGAAAACAAGUCAUACAUGUCGCGGUGUAAAGUAGUAAUUUCUGUUGCUAUCCUACACAAAGCGGCGAAGAAGCAAUGCUGUAUGACCACUUGGUGGCGAUGGAGCGCAGCGGGCGAGCUGUGGAUGGGAACUACUACAACAUGAGAGGAAUAAACCUCAAACAUCUUGUGGACCCAAUUGAUGACUUGUUUAUUGCUGGCAGGAAUGACAAGCACAGGUAUGUAACACCUGAGAGACAUGGCACACACCAACAAGUCAACAACAGGUAUGUAACACCUGAGAGACAUGGCACACACCAACAAGUCAACAACAGGUAUGUAACACCUGAGAGACAUGGCACACACCAACAAGUCAACAGGUAUGUAACACCUGAGAGACAUGGCACACACCAACAAGUCAACAAGUAUGUAACACCUGAGAGACAUGGCACACACCAACAAGUCAACAACAGGUAUGUAACACCUGAGAGACAUGGCACACACCAACAAGUCAACAGGUAUGUAACACCUGAGAGACAUGGCACACACCAACAAGUCAACAGGUAUGCAACACCUGAGACAUGGCACACACCAACAAGUCAAGAACAGGUAUGUAACACCUGAGACAUGGCACAAGUCAACAGGUAUGUAACACCUGAGAGACAUGGCACAAGUCAACAACAGGUAUGUAACACCUGAGAGACAUGGCACAAGUCAACAACAGGUAUGUAACACCUGAGAGACAUGGCACAAGUCAACAACAGGUAUGUAACACCUGAGAGACAUGGCACAAGUCAACAACAGGUAUGUAACACAUGAGAGACAUGGCACAAGUCAACAACAGGUAUGUAACACCUGAGAGACAUGGCACAAGUCAACAACAGGUAUGUAACACCUGAGAGACAUGGCACAAGUCAACAACAGGUAUGUAACACAUGAGAGACAUGGCACAAGUCAACAACAGGUAUGUGUUAAAAUAAUUGUAAGUUAUCACAAAAGACUUUGAUGAAAUGAGUUCCAGGCAAAAGGACGGGGGCUGUCUUUGAGGCCUACCAAGAGGAAGAAGGCUCGUAAAACUCCACUGACUUCAAAGCGGACAGAUGGCAGGAUCUGCUCAACUUCCAGACGGACUAUUUUUGAAGUAUUUCACGAACCCUUUUGGAACUCUCUUUAAACUGUUUUACGACCUCUUAUUUUGAACUGUUCAGUAACCAAAGGCAACGCUGUUUACGACCCACUUCCCUCUGGAAGCAGCUGUGGUCAGGUGGGUGGAGGAAGUCAGAGGAGUGCAAUCUUUUGGCAGAGCGUGCUGGAGAUACUGUUCAAGGGUACGGUGUGUCCAGAUGUCAUCAGUGUUUGAAGCUGACAUCUUCUUGGUCCUUCGAGCCGGAUUCCAACACGUCUGACGAUUCCAGCAUGAGUGAGUGAAACCAGAAAGACCAUGGCAUCCAAAUCCUGAUUGAGGAACUGCUUUUUCUUAAUUCGGGCUGGAAUUGGAAGACUGAUGGAAAACCGAGGGCAAGAGGAAGGAACGCAUAGUUCAUCACGUGACCGCCACGGUCCAAUCAGCUGUGCUCAUAAGCCGGUAGCAGGAAGUGGCCAGAAGACAGAUUGUGUAUUUCUGCUCCAGAGGCGACUACGACUACCAGUGCUGGAUGAAGUUGUGUGUGACUACCAGCGCUGGAUGAAGCUGUCAUGAAGUUGUGUGUGACUAGAAGACAAGUUGGCCAGGCUGCUCUUUUGGAUGGCGAGCUAAGGAAAAGAAGCAUCUAGUCCAAGGAUGGUUCUUGGAAGAUUCCAGCCAGGGACCUCACCACCUGUUCUGGUAGGAGGCUCUCCAGCCGACCCUUUACAUGUUCAUCUUAACCUGCAGCACAUGGACUGCACUGACAUCUUUUUUUUUUCCAAGAACUUUAAGUCUGAACUGAAAUUUAUACAAGAUCCAGAGACACUGAUUCAUGGAAUUAGAAUAGUAUACUGUAUAUGUGUAUAGUACUUGUGUUUGUUUCUUCAAAUAGCUUUCAUGUUGAAUGGCCAUUCAACUAAUUGUUGUGUAUUUAACAUUGUCACACAAGUGUAGGGCUGCAACAAGUAAUCGAUUAAAUUGAUAAUAAAAAUAGUUGGUGAUUAAUUUAGCAUAGAUCCAACAAAUCGAUGAUUAUGUGCUGAGGUAAUUUUUUAUAGUAUUAUUUUUUUUUACAAAC